rnacentral:rRNA from 1 species
GUGCCAGCAGCCGCGGUAAUACGUAGGUGGCAAGCGUUAUCCGGAAUUAUUGGGCGUAAAGCGCGCGUAGGCGGUUUUUUAAGUCUGAUGUGAAAGCCCACGGCUCAACCGUGGAGGGUCAUUGGAAACUGGAAAACUUGAGUGCAGAAGAGGAAAGUGGAAUUCCAUGUGUAGCGGUGAAAUGCGCAGAGAUAUGGAGGAACACCAGUGGCGAAGGCGACUUUCUGGUCUGUAACUGACGCUGAUGUGCGAAAGCGUGGGGAUCAAACAGGA